rnacentral:sRNA from 1 species
GCGCGGCUACGGGGCGCAGGGGCCAUGGUGCGCGGCAGGAUCUCCCGGCUCUCGGUCCGGGACGUGCGCUUCCCCACGUCGCUUGGGGGCCACGGCUCGGACGCCAUGCACACGGACCCUGACUACUCGGCUGCCUAUGUCGUCAUAGAAACUGAUGCAGAAGAUGGAAUCAAGGGGUGUGGAAUUACCUUCACUCUGGGAAAAGGCACUGAAGUUGUUGUCUGUGCUGUGAAUGCCCUCGCCCACCAUGUGCUCAACAAGGACCUCAAGGACAUUGUUGGUGACUUCAGAGGCUUCUAUAGGCAGCUCACAAGUGAUGGGCAGCUCAGAUGGAUUGGUCCAGAAAAGGGCGUGGUGCACCUGGCGACAGCGGCCGUCCUAAACGCGGUGUGGGACUUGUGGGCCAAGCAGGAGGGAAAGCCUGUCUGGAAGUUACUUGUGGACAUGGAUCCCAGGACGCUGGUAUCCUGCAUAGAUUUCAGGUACAUCACUGAUGUCCUGACUGAAGAGGAUGCCCUAGAAAUACUGCAGAAAGGUCAAGUUGGUAAAAAAGAAAGAGAGAAGCAAAUGCUGGCACAAGGAUACCCUGCUUACACGACAUCGUGCGCCUGGCUGGGGUACUCAGAUGACACGUUGAAGCAGCUCUGUGCCCAGGCGCUGAAGGAUGGCUGGACCAGGUUUAAAGUAAAGGUGGGUACUGAUCUCCAGGAUGACAUGCGAAGAUGCCAAAUCAUCCGAGACAUGAUUGGACCGGAAAAGACUUUGAUGAUGGAUGCCAACCAGCGCUGGGAUGUGCCUGAGGCAGUGGAGUGGAUGUCCAAGCUGGCCAAGUUCAAGCCAUUGUGGAUUGAGGAGCCAACCUCCCCUGAUGACAUUCUGGGGCACGCCACCAUUUCCAAGGUAGGAAAACGGCUGCUGCUGUGGCAGCUUAUUUUUUUGUUUAGUUUUCCAGAGUGCUGGGGACAGAUCCUAAAAUUUCUUCACUUGUUCCCUCUUGCAUUUCCUGUUGAAGUAGCUGAAAUAAUUGUAAUGUGUGACAAAUACAGGGGUUACAGACCUGACGUUCCUUUUUCUACUUCAGCUUAUACUUUGCCCUUAUUUCUGUUUGUUUUAGAUAAAGUAAGCUGCCAGAAGUUGAAGGGCUACCAGCAAUUUGAAGGUUAAUAGACAUGGU